rnacentral:ncRNA from 1 species
AACUCGCCAUAUAUGGCGAGUUGGGAGGGAAAGAGUUAAAAAGCUCGUAGUUGGAUUUUGGGCGCAGGCGGCCGGUCCGUCGCAAGGCGUGUACUGGACGUCCUGGCCUUCCCUCCGGUUCUCCGCCGGUGCUCUUGACUGAGUGUCGGCGGCGGCCGGAACGUUUACUUUGAAAAAAUUAGAGUGUUCAAAGCAGGCUCUCGAGCCUGGAUAAUGGUGCAUGGAAUAAUGGAAUAGGACCUCGGUUCUAUUUUGUUGGUUUUCGGAGCGCGAGGUAAUGAUUAAGAGGGACAGACGGGGGCAUUCGUACUGUGCCGUUAGAGGUGAAAUUCUUGGAUCGGCGCAAGACGAACGACUGCGAAAGCAUUUGCCAAGAAUGUUUUCUUUAAUCAAGAGCGAAAGUCAGAGGUUCGAAGACGAUCAGAUACCGUCCUAGUUCUGACUAUAAACGAUGCCAACUAGCGAUCGGGGGGCGUUACAUUGACGACCCCUCCGGCAGCUUACGGGAAACCAAAGUCUUUGGGUUCCGGGGGAAGUAUGGUUGCAAAGCUGAAACUUAAAGGAAUUGACGGAAGGGCACCACCAGGAGUGGAGCCUGCGGCUUAAUUUGACUCAACACGGGAAAUCUCACCCGGCCCGGACACAGUGAGGAUUGACAGAUUGAGAGCUCUUUCUUGAUUCU